rnacentral:rRNA from 1 species
AAUCAACGCUGGCGGCGUGCCUCAGACAUGCAAGUCGAACGAUUAAACUUCCCUUCGGGGAAGGUAUAAAGUGGCGCACGGGUGAGUAACACGUAAGUAAUCUACCUUCGAGUGGGGAAUAACAACCGGAAACGGUUGCUAAUACCGCAUAACGCAGCGGCACCUAAUGGUGACAGUUGUUAAAGGAGCAAUUCGCUUGAAGAGGAGCUUGCGGCAGAUUAGCUAGUUGGUAAGGUAAUGGCUUACCAAGGCUUCGAUCUGUAUCCGGUCUAAGAGGACGGUCGGACACACUGACACUGAAUAACGGGUCAGACUCCUACGGGAGGCAGCAGUCGGGAAUUUUGGGCAAUGGGCGAAAGCCUGACCCAGCAACGCCGCGUGAAGGAUGAAGUAUUUCGGUAUGUAAACUUCGAAAGAAUGGGAAGAACUCAAUGACGGUACCAUUUAUAAGCUCCGGCUAACUACGUGCCAGCCGCCGCCGUAAAAC